rnacentral:tRNA from 1 species
GCCUCGGUGGCGGAAUAGGCAAACGCGCAGGGUUGAGGGUCCUGUGCCCAAACGGGCUUGGAGGUUCAAACCCUCCCCGAGGCGCCA